GGCGGACGGGUGAGUAACACGUGGGUAACCUACCCAUCAGAGGGGGAUAACACUUGGAAACAGGUGCUAAUACCGCAUAACAGUUUAUGCCGCAUGGCAUAAGAGUGAAAGGCGCUUUCGGGUGUCGCUGAUGGAUGGACCCGCGGUGCAUUAACUAGUUGGUGAGGUAACGGCUCACCAAGGCCACGAUGCAUAGCCGACCUGAGAGGGUGAUCGGCCACACUGGGACUGAGACACGGCCCAGACUCCUACGGGAGGCAGCAGUAGGGAAUCUUCGGCAAUGGACGAAAGUCUGACCGAGCAACGCCGCGUGAGUGAAGAAGGUUUUCGGAUCGUAAAACUCUGUUGUUAGAGAAGAACAAGGACGUUAGUAACUGAACGUCCCCUGACGGUAUCUAACCAGAAAGCCACGGCUAACUACGUGCCAGCAGCCGCGGUAAUACGUAGGUGGCAAGCGUUGUCCGGAUUUAUUGGGCGUAAAGCGAGCGCAGGCGGUUUCUUAAGUCUGAUGUGAAAGCCCCCGGCUCAACCGGGGAGGGUCGUUGGACACUGCGAGACUUGAGUGCAGAAGAGGAGAGUGGAAUUCCAUGUGUAGCGGUGAAAUGCGUAGAUAUAUGGAGGAACACCAGUGGGCGAAGGCGGCUCUCUGGUCUGUAACUGACGCUGACGCUCGAAAGCGUGGGGAGCAAACAAGAUUAGAUA
rnacentral:rRNA from 1 species